CCUACGGGUGGCAGCAGUGAGGAAUAUUGGUCAAUGGACGAGAGUCUGAACCAGCCAAGUAGCGUGAAGGAUGACUGCCCUAUGGGUUGUAAACUUCUUUUAUAUGGGAAUAAAAUGUUCCACGUGUGGGAUUUUGUAUGUACCAUAUGAAUAAGGAUCGGCUAACUCCGUGCCAGCAGCCGCGGUAAUACGGAGGAUCCGAGCGUUAUCCGGAUUUAUUGGGUUUAAAGGGAGCGUAGGUUGAUUGUUAAGUCAGUUGUGAAAUUUUGCGGCUCAACCGUAAAAGUGCAGUUGAAACUGGCAGUCUUGAGUGCACGAGAGGUGGGCGGAAUUCGUGGUGUAGCGGUGAAAUGCUUAGAUAUCACGAAGAACUCCGAUUGCGAAGGCAGCUCACUGGACUGCAACUGACACUGAGGCUCGAAAGUGUGGGUAUCAAACAGGAUUAGAUACCCGGGUAGUC
rnacentral:rRNA from 1 species